rnacentral:lncRNA from 1 species
GGAUCUCAAUGUAUGGGAAGGUCAUUCUCUCCAUGUACAAUGAUUUCCUGAUUGUCGUGUUCAAACUUAACUACUUGAUGCAAAGUAGAAGGUAUGGCUCUGGCCGUGUGGAUCCAUGGUCUUCCUAAAAGUAGGUUGUAGGAAGUAUCCAUGUCUAUUACUUGAAAGGUGAUCGUAAACUCAACUGGUCCAAUAACCAAAGCAAGAUCUACCUCACCAAUUGUGUCUCGUUUUGCACCAUCAAAAGCCCGAACACAUACAUUAUUGGACCGAAUCCUAUCUGGG